GGAGGUGGCACACUGCUAGCUCCUGAGGAGGGACAGCCAAUGCUCCCGGGUCCAGGGGCCAGCCAAGCUGGGACGCACCUGGCAUCCCAGACGGAGGUCUUGGCAGGAGGGGAUGGACCAGAGGACCCCCUGCCCCCACCCCCUGGAGUGGAGAAGACGACAUUGAGGGUAAAAGUGGAGGCAGGCUAAGUCUUCCAGAGGCAUAAAGUCAAAUCCAGUCACAGAGUAAAUCCAUUGAUUUCAAAGGAGAGGUGCCCACUUACACUGGAGCUAGGUUUGGCCCGUAGUGUCCUUUGGAAUAUUAAGAUGAGAAAAGUAGAAUGGAAUAGAGCUCUGUUUAGAGGAAAGGUGAUGCAGUGGAAUGCAGUAGAACCCUAUUACUGAGAAAGAAGAACUGUUGUCCAAAAUCACUCCGAGUACUCUGUAAGAAAGGAAGAGAACCACCAAAGCAGCCCGUGCACAUCUGCUAGAGGCAGCAGGCAAGUGGAACUUAGCCUCCCUCUACUAUGUACACAAGUAACCCCUGAGAGACAGAGUUGAAACCUGAGAAAAAUGCCUGCAUCAGCAAGUUGCUGCUGUCUAUGGACAGUGUCGUAUUAGAGUUGUAUGCAAUUUUGACUUUCAAAGGGAGCUGGAGACAAAACUUCCUUAGGCACUUACAAAAACUCUCACCCGUGGUCCAUAGAAUCAGAUAGAGGAUCUAGCAAAUCAAGUUAGAUGUAACACAUCCUUUGGGCUUCAACUCUUAAACAUCACAAAAGAAUAACUUUCUUUCUUCAGAAAAGUUAUCAUCGUCCAAGAUCUGGCAAGCAGUCCUCUGGUGCCAUUGAAUCGUUGACUGUCCAGUGUGAAUCAAAAAAUAAAGGUGCUGAUAUCUGUCAUUUUUUCAAUAUAAAAAUUUCAAAAUGGAGUAGACAAAGGAAGAAGCAAUUCUCAUCAGCAGUAAUGUUGUAUUUUUUC